rnacentral:rRNA from 1 species
AUUGAACGCUGGCGGCAGGCCUAACACAUGCAAGUCGAGCGGAUGAGGGGAGCUUGCUCCUGGAUUCAGCGGCGGACGGGUGAGUAAUGCCUAGGAAUCUGCCUGGAAGUGGGGGAUAACGUCCGGAAACGGGCGCUAAUACCGCAUACGUCCUGAGGGAGAAAGUGGGGGAUCUUCGGACCUCACGCUAUCAGAUGAGCCUAGGUCGGAUUAGCUAGUUGGUGGGGUAAAGGCCUACCAAGGCGACGAUCCGUAACUGGUCUGAGAGGAUGAUCAGUCACACUGGAACUGAGACACGGUCCAGACUCCUACGGGAGGCAGCAGUGGGGAAUAUUGGACAAUGGGCGAAAGCCUGAUCCAGCCAUGCCGCGUGUGUGAAGAAGGUCUUCGGAUUGUAAAGCACUUUAAGUUGGGAGGAAGGGCAGUAAGUUAAUACCUUGCUGUUUUGACGUUACCAACAGAAUAAGCACCGGCUAACUUCGU